GAGAAAGAGAAGGAGAUCUGAGCAACAUCAAUUGAGAGUUAGAGAAAGAGAUGGCUGCGGUGACAAUUUGUAUGACGGGAAACCGAUAAAGGCGAUGACAAUAUGUAUGAUAGGAGCCGGGGGCUUCAUCGGGUCUCAUCUCUGCGAGAAGUUGAUGGCCGAGACGCCUCACACUGUGCUGGCUGUGGAUGUCUACAACGACAAGAUCAAGCACCUGCUCGGUCCCGAGGGUGAGCAGCAGAGCGACCACCAUUGGGCCGGCCGGAUCCACUUCCACCGCCUCAACAUCAAGCAUGAUUCCAGGCUCGAAGGACUGAUCAAGAUGUCCCAUCUGACGAUCAACCUGGCGGCAAUCUGCACCCCUGCAGACUACAACACCCGUCCUCUGGAGACCAUCUAUAGCAAUUUCAUUGACGCCAUUCCUGUGGUCAAGUAUUGCUCCGAGAAUGGCAAGCGUCUUAUCCACUUCUCCACUUGCGAGGUGUAUGGCAAGACCAUCGGAAGCUUCCUUCCUAGAGAUCACCCCCUUAGACAGGAGCCAGAUUUCUAUGUCCUUAAAGAAGAUGCCUCACCUUGCAUUUUUGGUCCUAUUGAGAAACAGAGAUGGUCCUAUGCGUGUGCAAAACAGCUAAUUGAAAGACUGAUCUUUGCUGAAGGUGCGGAGAAUGGUCUUGAGUUCACCAUUGUAAGACCUUUUAAUUGGAUUGGACCAAGGAUGGAUUUUAUUCCAGGAAUUGAUGGACCUGGUGAAGGUGUCCCCAGGGUUCUUGCAUGCUUCAGUAAUAAUCUUCUUCGUGGUGAGCCCCUAAAGCUUGUUAAUGGUGGCCAGUCCCAAAGGACCUUUUUGUAUAUCAAGGAUGCCAUUGAAGCAGUUCUCUUGAUGAUUGAAAAUCCUGCUCGAGCCAAUGGCCAGAUCUUCAAUGUGGGAAAUCCCAACAAUGAAGUUACUGUGAAGCAACUUGCAGAAAUGAUGAUAGAGGUUUAUUCAAAGGUUGCGGGAGAGCCAGUGCUGGAUGUCCCUACAAUUGAUGUGAGCUCCAGGGAGUUCUAUGGUGAAGGCUAUGAUGACAGUGACAGAAGGAUCCCGGACAUGACUAUUAUAAGCAAUCAACUUGGUUGGAGCCCAAAGGCAUCCCUAUCAGAUUUGUUAGAAUCAACAUUGACAUAUCAGCAUAAGACAUACGCAGAAGCCAUAAAGCGUGUGACUGCUAGAUCUGCUACAUCUAAUUAGAUUUUGCAGACAUGAAAUUAGUUGUUCAAGAGUUGGCAUCAAUGGCCAAUUGCUGGUGCGAACCGUGCAAUUCAUGUAUUCUUCAUGCAUACUGUUGUAGAACAAAGCUGCAGCUGAAUCUUCUCAACGUUGUAGAACAUGUUUCAGAGAUGUAUGCAGCGUAUAAACCUUUGUGAGCGCAUCCCACAGCUUGGAUAAUCCACUUGCACUGCACUGCACUGCACUGCAGCUGAAUCUUCUCAACGUUGUAGAACAUGUCAGAGAUGUAUGCAGGGUAUAUUCCUUUGUGAGCGCAUCCUACAGCUUGGAUAAUCCACUUGCAUGCGGAGAAAGAAAUAUUGUUAUAAUGAACAGCCCUUUUCUUUUUUUUGUAAAAUAGCCUACGAUUUGUUCCUACCAAAUGUAUCAAAAUUC